rnacentral:rRNA from 1 species
GAUGAACGCUGGCGGCGUGCCUAAUACAUGCAAGUCGAGCGAACAGAUGAGGAGCUUGCUCCUCUGACGUUAGCGGCGGACGGGUGAGUAACACGUGGAUAACCUACCUAUAAGACUGGGAUAACUUCGGGAAACCGGAGCUAAUACCGGAUAAUAUAUUGAACCGCAUGUUUCUAUAGUGAAAGACGGUUUUGCUGUCACUUAUAGAUGGAUCCGCGCCGCAUUAGCUAGUUGGUAAGGUAACGGCUUACCAAGGCGACGAUGCGUAGCCGACCUGAGAGGGUGAUCGGCCACACUGGAACUGAGACACGGUCCAGACUCCUACGGGAGGCAGCAGUAGGGAAUCUUCCGCAAUGGGCGAAAGCCUGACGGAGCAACGCCGCGUGAGUGAUGAAGGUCUUCGGAUCUUAAAACUCUGUUAUUAGGGAAGAACAAAUGUGGAAGUAACUAUGCACGUCUUGACGGUACCUAAUCAGAAAGCCACGGCUAACUACGUG